rnacentral:rRNA from 1 species
GAUGAACGCUAGCUACAGGCUUAACACAUGCAAGUCGAGGGGUCUUUUUUAGCUUGCUUUAAAAGACGACCGGCGCACGGGUGAGUAACGCGUAUCCAACCUGCCCUUCAUAUUGGUAUAGCCUCCCGAAAGGGAGAUUAAUCCCGAAUAACAUGAGAGAGUUGCCUGAUUUUCUCAUGAAAGCUCCGGCGAUGAAGGAUGGGGAUGCGUUCCAUUAGGUAGUAGGCGGGGUAACGGCCCACCUAGCCUACGAUGGAUAGGGGUUCUGAGAGGAAGGUCCCCCACACUGGAACUGAGACACGGUCCAG